rnacentral:rRNA from 1 species
UACGUAGGGAGCAAGCGUUAUCCGGAUUUACUGGGUGUAAAGGGCGCGCAGGCGGGCCGGCAAGUUGGAAGUGAAAUCCGGGGGCUUAACCCCCGAACUGCUUUCAAAACUGCUGGUCUUGAGUGAUGGAGAGGCAGGCGGAAUUCCGUGUGUAGCGGUGAAAUGCGUAGAUAUACGGAGGAACACCAGUGGCGAAGGCGGCCCGCUGGACAUUAACUGACGCUGAGGCGCGAAAGCGUGGGGAGCAAACAGG